UACGAAGGGGGCUAGCGUUGUUCGGAUUUACUGGGCGUAAAGCGCACGUAGGCGGAUUGUUAAGUGAGGGGUGAAAUCCUGGAGCUCAACUCCAGAACUGCCUUUCAUACUGGCAAUCUAGAGUCCGGAAGAGGUGAGUGGAACUCCUAGUGUAGAGGUGGAAUUCGUAGAUAUUAGGAAGAACACCAGUGGCGAAGGCGGGUCUCUGGGCCGAUACUGACACUGAGAGACGAAAGGCUAGGGGAGCAAAUGGG
rnacentral:rRNA from 1 species